GACGAACGCUGGCGGCGUGCCUAAUACAUGCAAGUUGAGCGAUGAAGCUUGGUGCUUGCACCAAUUUGAAGAGCAGCGAACGGGUGAGUAACGCGUGGGGAAUCUGCCUUUGAGCGGGGGACAACAUUUGGAAACGAAUGCUAAUACCGCAUAACAACUUUAAACAUAAGUUUUAAGUUUGAAAGAUGCAAUUGCAUCACUCAAAGAUGAUCCCGCGUUGUAUUAGCUAGUUGGUGAGGUAAAGGCUCACCAAGGCGAUGAUACAUAGCCGACCUGAGAGGGUGAUCGGCCACAUUGGGACUGGGACACGGCCCAAACUCCUACGGGAGGCAGCAGUAGGGAAUCUUCGGCAAUGGACGAAAGUCUGACCGAGCAACGCCGCGUGAGUGAAGAAGGUUUUCGGAUCGUAAAACUCUGUUGGUAGAGAAGAAAGUUGGUGAGAGUGGAAAGCUCAUCAAGUGACGGUAACUACCCAGAAAGGGACGGCUAACUACGUG
rnacentral:rRNA from 1 species